rnacentral:rRNA from 1 species
CUCGAGCGCGUCGUGGUAUUUCGCGUAUUGUAAUUUCAACACGAGCGGGGUCAAAUCCUUUGCAGACGACUUAGCUGUGCGAAACGGUCCUGUAAGCAGUAGAGUAGCCUUGUUGUUACGAUCUGCUGAGGGUAAGCCGUCCUUCGCCUCGAUUU